rnacentral:rRNA from 1 species
AGAGUUUGAUCCUGGCUCAGGACGAACGCUGGCGGCGUGCCUAACACAUGCAAGUCGAACGGAAACAAUCUCUAAGUUUACUUAGAGAGGGUUUUAGUGGCGGACGGGUGAGUAACGCGUGGGUAACCUGCCCAUUAAACCGGGACAACCCUUGGAAACGAGGGCUAAUACCGGAUAAGCUUAAGAUCUGGCAUCAGGUU